rnacentral:rRNA from 1 species
UACGUAGGGUGCAAGCGUUGUCCGGAAUUAUUGGGCGUAAAGAGCUCGUAGGCGGUCUGUCGCGUCGGCUGUGAAAACCCGGGGCUCAACCCCGGGCCUGCAGUCGAUACGGGCAGACUAGAGUGUGGUAGGGGAGACUGGAAUUCCUGGUGUAGCGGUGAAAUGCGUAGAUAUCAGGAGGAACACCUGCGGUGUAGACGGCUUACUGGACCAUAACUGACGCUGAGGCACGAAAGCGUGGGUAGCAAACAGG